GCGAGGGGGUCGGGGGCUCUCGGGGCACUCCCGAGGAAGUUCCGCCCACCGCACCGGGGCCGCGGUGCCGUAAGGCACCUCCCGAGAGGGAGGGCAACGGCGCAGAAACGACACGGCCCCCGGGAGAUGUGAAUGACGCGCGCGAAGGGCUCGGCGACGGGCACCGAGCUAACCCGCAGACAAUCCCGGGGGAUGCGGUGAAACGGCCGUCCCGCGGGGUGCAAGGCCGACGCUGGGGCGAUGAGUUCCCGGUGCGAGCCCCGUGGUAGGCCGCUCAGUCGAAUGCCCCCCUUGACACAGAAGGCGGGCUACGACCCCCUCGC
rnacentral:RNase_P_RNA from 1 species